rnacentral:SRP_RNA from 1 species
GCUACCUCCAAUUACGGUGGGGCCUUGUGAACCGGGUCAGGUCGUAACUGAAGCAGCCCUAAGCAAUCCGUCUCAGGUGUAUGCGGGGGUAGCGUU